GUGCCUUCUUCAGCAGCACAUAUACUAAAAUUAGAUGGACACAGAGAAGAUUAGCAUGGCCCCUGCACAAGGAUGGCAUGCACAUUCGUAAAGCAUUCCAUAUUUAA